rnacentral:rRNA from 1 species
UACGUAGGCAGCGAGCGUUGUUCGGAGUUACUGGGCGUAAAGGGUGUGUAGGCGGUUGUUUAAGUUUGGUGUGAAAUCUCCCGGCUCAACUGGGAGGGUGCGCCGAAUACUGAAUGACUUGGAGUGCGGGAGAGGAAAGUGGAAUUCCUGGUGUAGCGGUGAAAUGCGUAGAUAUCAGGAGGAACACCGGUGGUGUAGACGGCUUUCUGGACCAUAACUGACGCUGAGACACGAAAGCGUGGGUAGCAAACAGG